rnacentral:misc_RNA from 1 species
AAACACACCCCUUCCAUCAUUCAGCAGCGGAACAGCAUGGCAGCCGCUGAGCGUGAUCCGGAUGACCGCAACGUGCUGGACUUCAGCACCUACGAGGACUACCUCGAUCAGCAAGUCACCGGCGAAGACCUCUUUUACCUCGAGGACCAAGAUGCAGCGCGAAAGAUUGUGGAGCUAGGGUACAAGGGCAAGGAUGUGCUCAGCCGAGAUGAGUUUGAGGCAGCACAGCAUCUAGCCCGUACUGGCCCGCUUAAGCGACGCGAGAGCGCCGAGGUCAUCACGAGCGCCGGCAAGGACGUGAGUGACAGCCCGCUACUGACUGCGCUCGCCAAGCGCGAGGAGCUGGUGCGCACCGGCAAGCUCGCAACGGUGCUGUUCCUGCGUGACUACGUGAGCGGGCAGGAGGUGUCCGCCUACAUCGACUACGGCUACCGUCUGCGCAGCGAGAACUUCGAGGCGUACUUCAAGAAGGAAAAGAAACUGCUGCCGAAGCGGAGCGACCUCAGCUACUACAACUGGAAGACGCACACGCUCUUCUACAACAACAGCCCAACCUUUCAGGUGCUUGCUGACAGCGCACUGGGGCUCGUCAUGAAGCACAAACGCGACCGCAAGGCCAUCCACGUAGACCCGAAUUCGCCAUCACCCGGGGAGAACUGCAGCCGGACUGUGGUGCCGUGUAAAGACUACCUGCAAGCUGUCAUCUACGACCAUGUGACACGGCGCAAGAACUGAGUAGCGUGAGCGAAACAGACACACACGCGCACAGACGCGUCUCCGUGUGCGUACGCGCGCAGGCUUCUGAGCGCUGCCUCGCCUUGCUCGCUCCCACCGUCGCCCACUGCCCCCUCCCCCUCUUUGUCCUUUAGUGGCUGUCCGUAUCGCCUAGAUGGAGUGCAAAAGUCUCUGCUUUCCAUGUUGAGCGUCCUUCCCCUGUAGCCACCACUACAGACAGAUGCACAUGCGUUUCUCUCUCUACGCCGCUGCUGCUGUUGGUAGUGUUUCAAGUUGCGUAGGAGGGUUACUACUACGUGUGCAUAUAUGUGUGCGGUCGUGCCGCAUGGCCGCCAACGCGUUGGACUCGAUGUAUAGCAGCUUCUCUAUCUUGCUUCUUUUUCCUUCUCGGUGGCGCUUGUAGAUCUAUGUGUAGGCGUUGCUCCGCCGUACUGAUGGCCUGGUCAGUUCGGUGAUAUCCCUUCCCCUUCGUAUCUGGCUGUGAUGUUUAGGCUGCCGCUGUACGCGAGGCAGUGGGCCGUGCGCCGCUCAUCGCAUCCAACGGAGAAGAAAAGCAAAGGCAACGACACCGUCGCCCUUCACCGCAUGCCUCCAUUCACCAUCCACCACCGCCACCAUACGCCCCAAGGUCCCUGAGGGUCGUGGAGAGGAGGAUUCCACGGGGCCUAAGGGGAGGGGGUGGGUAUAAUCAGUGCGAGGGCUUGAGUGGCGGCAACAACGGCAAUGUUCGCAUCCUUUUUCUUGCGCCCGACGACGUUCCUGACGAC